AUGAGCGAGUUUCCAACUUGUGUUGGGAUAAUCCAGGUGGCAUUCGACGGCUUGGUGAGCUGGAAUAUCUUUCGGUUUUUGUAUGCAGACUGUCGGAGCUCCCAUUCCCACACCGAACAGCCAAAGAACGACACAAAUGAACUUGGCGUAGCUUUUCCGACGAAGCCACAUGGCCUUCGUGGUCAAAGCGAACGCGAGGUAGCGGUCCACGUUCACCAUCACCAGCAUGUAGACGCUGGUGUACAUGUUGACAUUAAUGGAGAGGUGGACCACCUUGCACAUGAUCUCUCCGUAAGACCACAUGAAAUAGUUCAGGAUGUUCAAGGCCCAAAACGGCAGACAGACUAGCAGGAGGAGGUCAGCCAGCACCAGAUUCCCGAGAUAGAUCUCAGGCACGGACCAGCGGCUUCCCUGGAGCAGGAACACUACCAAUACCAAAACAUUUCCCAGAAUUCCUGUCAAGCACACGGUGAAGAUGUACGGUGGAAUGAUGGAGUGGACUAGUUCCCACUCUGUCGAGUUGAAGAACUCCAGGUAUGCUGGAGUGACGGAUGCAUUGGGAGGCUGAAGCAUCGCCGAUGACACAAGCUCUGACUGCAUUCUAGAAGAUAAAAAAAGUUAUUAAAACUGAAAUAAAAGUGAAUAAAAACAAUAUAGGCUUAAAAAAAACAACAAAACUCAAAUUUAAAUUUUAACAGAAAAUAUAAAAACUAAUUUACAAUUUUAAUACACAUUACAGUACGUACAGUACAGUACAGUACAUGCUCUGAACUGACAUCCGAAAUCUGGUGUCUAAUCUAUUCCAGAGUGACACUAAAAAUGAUUUAACUUUACAAUGUGUGAAUGUGAUCACAUUAGAUAUAAAAUAUCAAAAUGGAAAUGUAUCAAGUUUAUAAUCAUUUAAAUUUGGGAACCGCUGUUUUAGAACUUUGCUUUGUGUAAUAUUUCAAGGAAAUGCUGAUGUAAAUUUGUUCAGAAUUGGGGUCUAGUACAAAAAUACAAAAAUUGGUCUUAAGUUACACUUUGUGUCAUUUUUUGUGCAGGGUUAUUUUUUUUUAUUUUUAUUUUUUGUCAUUCAAUCCACUUUGAUCUAAAAUAUUUUCUUGAAUUCCCCCUGAGAUGUAAAUUUAUAUUUUAUCUAUUAAACAACACAUACGCAUGCUCAUGAUUCCCUGAUGUUGGUUAAUC
rnacentral:lncRNA from 1 species